rnacentral:rRNA from 1 species
UAAGAAAAGACAGAUCGCAUGAUCAAGCUUUUAAAAGGCGGCGUAAAGCUGUCGCUAUGGGGAUGGCCCCGGCGGUGCAUUAGCUAGUUGGUAAGGUAAAGGCUUACCAAGGGCGAUGAUGCAUAGCCCGAGUUGAGAGACUGAUCGGCCACGAUUGGGGACUGAGACACGGGCCCAAACUCCUACGGGAGGCAGCAGUAGGGAAUCUUCCACAAUGGACGCAAGUCUGAUGGAGCAAACGCCGCGUGAGUGAAGAAGGUUUUCGGAUCGUAAAGCUCUGUUGUUGGUGAAGAAGGAUAGAGGUAGUAACUGGCCCUUUAUUUGACGGUAAUCAACCAGAAAGUCACGGGCUAACUACGUGCCAGCAGCCGCGGUAAAU